rnacentral:rRNA from 1 species
UACGAAGGGGGCUAGCGUUGUUCGGAAUUACUGGGCGUAAAGCGUGCGCAGGCGGCUUCUCAAGUCAGGGGUGAAAGGCCCAGAGCCUCAACUCUGGAAUUGCCUUUGAGACUGAGUGGCUUGAGUACGGGAGAGGUGAGUGGAAUUCCCAGUGUAGAGGUGAAAUUCGUAGAUAUUGGGAAGAACACCGGUGGCGAAGGCGGCUACACUGGCCCGAAACUGACGCUCAUGCACGACAGCGUGGGGAUCAAACAGG